AUGAUCUGGAAAGUUUGGAGGUUAAACUUCAAGAACUUGAAGCUGAGCUACUUGAGAUUAACGCAAAUAAUGAGAAGUUGCAACACACUUACAAUGAGCUGUUAGAGUAUAAGCUUGUUGUAGAGAAGGUUGGUGAGUUUUUCUCUUCAGCAAGAAGUAAUGCUGUAGCUCACCAGAGGGACCUUGAAGUCUAUGCAGGUGCUGAAGGGUCUCUUGACAGCCCAUUAUUAUUGGAACAAGAGGAGACAACAACAAAGCAAGUUAAGCUGGGGUUUAUAUGUGGACUUGUUCCUAGGGAAAAAUCAAUUCCUUUUGAAAGAAUUAUAUUUCGUGCUACUAGGGGAAAUGUGUUUCUCAAACAGACUGUGGUUGAACAUCCUGUUCUUGAUCCUUUGUCAGGAGAGAAGGUUCAUAAAAAUGUAUUUGUUGUCUUUUAUUCUGGAGAGAGAGUUAAAAGUAAAAUUCUGAAAAUAUGUGAUGCUUUUGGAGCAAAUCGUUAUCCUUUCUCAGAUGACUUGAGUAAACAAUUUCAGACGAUAACAGAGGUAUACGUAAUUUUUUCUUAAUGUUUGUGCAUAGCUUUCAAUUGUCGUUAAGUGUUAAACUAAAUGCUUCAGAUGCUGUAUCUUUAAAUUUUUUUUGUCAAAUAUUAAUAAGAUCAACUACAUAUUUAUUAUGUAGUUUGGGUAUUUCAAUGUUUUACAUCUUUAAUCUUCUCUCUAACUUUUCGUACAGCUAUUGUUCAGUUAUGUUUUUCUGAUAACAUGUGUUGUUUUUCUUCAAUAGCCUUUAUUAAACUGUAAAUUUCAGUGAUCUCGAUCAACCUUCUUGUUGUUGUUUAGUUGUUAAUUGUUUUUGCUUUUAUUUUUCUUAUCAAGUUCAAUAGUGUUUAUGCUAUGACUAAAGUGAACCAUUUUAUGAAAGUGCUGUUGCACGUUUGGAUGGGAUCAUUUAAACAACAAACCAUUAAUUUAGUCGUUUAAUUAUUUUUUCAAACUCCAAAAUAGUUUUUUAUUUUUAUUUUUUUCACGGGGAAUCAUAAUAGUGUUGCAUACUAUUCCAACUAAAUUCAAAUAAUUGAUCCAAUAUU